UACGUAGGGGGCGAGCGUUGUUCGGAUUUACUGGGCGUAAAGGGCGCGCAGGCGGCUCAUUUUGUCAGGCGUGAAAGCCCCGGGCUUAACCUGGGAACUGCGCUUGAGACGGGUGGGCUAGAGAUCGGGAGAGGAGAGUGGAAUUCCCAGUGUAGAGGUGAAAUUCGUAGAUAUUGGGAAGAACACCGGUGGCGAAGGCGGCCCCCUGGACUGAUACUGACGCUGAGGCGCGAAAGCGUGGGGAGCAAACAGG
rnacentral:rRNA from 1 species